rnacentral:misc_RNA from 1 species
UUUAUACUAAAAAUAUAUUUAUAAAGACAUAGUUUGAUGAUAAUCGUCUUCUUAGAAUAAAGACGCUGGUGACUCAGACAGCGAGAAAGAGCAAGAAGAGUUAACAGAGUUGGAAAAUUUGCUCAAAAAACACGACAAAGAGUUUGCAAGGAACGAAGAGUCAAAAGGAGGACCGGUUGACUUGGCUGAAUAUCAUCAACUUCAUCUUGGAGUGGAAAGAAUACGAGUCCCCGAGAUACUGUUCGAACCAGCUAUGGUAGGACUGGAGCAAGCUGGUAUCACUGACACUAUAGACUUUGUAUUGGGACACUAUUCCCCUGAGAGACAGAACUCGCUAGUACAGAAUAUCUUUUUAACUGGCGGAAACACUAUAUUCCCAAACUUUACUCAGCGCUUAGAGAAAGAGCUCCGGGCGAUUCGACCUUUCAAAUCAACAUUCAAAAUCUACGAAGCCAGGAAUCCNAGUCUUGACUCGUGGNUUGGUGCGCNUAAGUGGGCGAGUAAAGCGUCCAACCUGACUCUAGGGAGCAUAACUAAACACAAUUAUGAAGAAAUGGGAGCAGAUUAUUUAAAAGAACAUUUAUUAUCUAAUUUAUUCGUUUCUUCUCCGCUAAACAAUCAGUAAUGAGAAAAGAGGCAUUUGAAUGUUCAUCACAACAGUUAAGCCAUCGAAAUUCCAGAAAAUCUAUCUUCAGUAGUAUAGCCUAUUAAAGGUCACCCCGUGGAAU